ACAUGCCUACAAAAUAGUGUUAAUGCAUCAGAUCCCAUUAGAAAUCUGCAGUUAAGUGCGCUCGGGCUAGUGUAGUACGGGUAUGGGUAACCACCUGGGAAGUCCUAGUAUUUUCCAUGCC
rfam:Picea glauca, whole genome shotgun sequence.